rnacentral:lncRNA from 1 species
GUCCGCCCAGAGAUCGCUCGCCUAAAACACAAGUUUUGGAGAGGAUUGAAACUACGUGCAGCAAGGAAAACACGCUGAAGCAAAACUCUCCAGAAAAAAGGGAUCGAACUCGGGUCCUUGCACUUGCGAGGCAGGCAGUGGAACCAGAGCUAAAUCCCCAGCCCGGUCUCAUGAUACAUUAUUUAUGCUGAAGAAGUAGAUCUCCUGUCAUUAUUCUUUUUUGACAAAGUACUUAAGAACUCUUGACCCUGAAUAUUUAUAAUUAUAUGUUCCUUUUGGUUAAAUGUGUCUUAGAGAAUUUUAAUGAAAACUGGAAUGAAAUUCUAUAAAAUCCAUGGGAAAUCAACCCAAGUUGAGUGCAAUAUGUGAAGAGCCGCUCAGAGUGAGGCAGAGCCGUGGAUCUGGAGCUCGGCUUUAUUUUCAGCCUUGGAAGCAUUCACUCGCUGCCUCGAGGCAGAAUAUGAUCUUCACCAGCAGACUGAAACUAGCACCUGUGAGAAGCAAAUCCAUGACCAUUAAAAUAUUCAGUCUUGGGUGGGAUAAAACAAACUGUUGUCUCAUUGAAGUUGUGCCAGGAAAAGGGCACAGUUUAGCUGGCUCUGCAGCCAUGACCAGGAAGCAGCUACAGUUGCUUGGAAUUCACAUCACAGCCCGGACACCAAUGGAACCAUCUGGACUGGAUUAUAAAGAUGGUGGUGCCGCUGCUGAUCGGCGCUCCUCUAGGAUACUGUGUGAGCUCACCCCGAUUCCUGUCCCUACUGUCCUGAUAGUACAGUCUCCUCUUCAUCUGUCAGUGCAUCCUCUGCACCAGUAAUAAAACGAGUGAGCUGAGGCAGGUGUAAGGAAAGCCAGUGAAUUCUACCUUCCCCCGCUUCUGGAGGUGCCACUGUAAGUGACACGAAUGACACUGAGCGUGUGGCACACGCAACCCCCGGCCUCGCUGUCUGGACAACGCUUGGGCCUGUGACAGGUAUGCACUGCAGAACAGUCCAGGGUAAAGGCGGGCAGCCCUCAGCAAUACUCAAGCAUUGCAGGCAGGACUGGGUCCUGGGGUCACACGUCCUCUGCCUCUCGGGGGGGCUGUGUCAGGCACAACCACAUCAUGUUAGGGUUACCACACGCCAGUGCAGCCUGCCAGCUGCUCAGGGGUAAAAGCUGCGUCCUAUCUUUCCAUCCCCAAGCAGUCCCUUCAACUCCUACACGGACCUGUACCCUCCCUUGCAUAAUACUUAGAAAACUGACGUGGACGAGGUCCUCUGGAUUUACUCUGACAUAUAAAUGCUUUAUAAAGACAUGAGUAUGUGUAACUGUUCUGCCUGUGUCUUUCUCACCAGUGAAAAACAGUGUUGGAUUAAACAGGACAAAAUCGAUAUUGCACAAAGGAAAGUGAAGUGUAAUGUGAGUGAGAAAUGCCCCGAUGCCAUGGGCCCCACAGGGUUUUGAGUUCUCCCACCCACCCACACACACUGUAUCCCAGUCUGUGGGAGGGGGACCAGGCCGUCAGUCUGCCUAGAUGUUUGAGUGAGUGAAUGAAAUACACUUGGGAUGAGGGAUACUGCCAGACGAAGUAUAAGAGCAGUUACUAAGUAUUUCCAAGCAUAUGUGCUCGCCCUUGAAGAAGUUUUCAUUGGUCUGGGAAGAAAGGAGGAAGUACAUACAUAGUGUAUGGAGUGGAUACGUUUAUUUUGUUGAAUAUGCAUAUGUACAUAGAUGGCUACUAUCUUUUUAAAAACGCUGAUUUUCUUAUUUAUUUAUUUAUUUAUUUACUUAUUUUACUGGAGAUUAAAGCCCAGGCCUUGCACAUUCUAGACAAACACUCCACUACUGAGCUACCGUCCAGCCUUUCUGGUUUUUGAACUUUAACAUUAAGAUAUAGUAAAAGUAGUGAAUAAGAUUUCUGUUUUCUUCAGUACUCCUUUUGUCAAAACAAAAAGCUAUUAACCCUAGUCUGAGACCCCAAUUUGAUUUAAAAUUACUUUUUGCUCCCAGAAAUCCCAUUAUCUGGGAAUAACUGUACUGAAAGCUUCUCUGAGCGCCUAGGGCUCGCUCUUCUUUUAUUCCACAUUUUUCAGGUUCACUAAACUGUACUUUACUGACCUUGUAUUGACAGUGCUUUAGUUGAACAUGUGGUAUCAUUGUAACAUCUUAAUUAAUACGUAGGAUCCAAAUUUGUUCAUGUGGUAUAAUGUCAAUUUGGGGUAAAAUAUAGUUUUUAGAAAUUGGAGGUCUAUGUAACAAACUUUGUUGUUUUCUUAUCCAGUUCUCAUUUCUUGUACC